UUAAAUUAUAUUUUCCAACAUUCAUUGCUUUUGUAAAAGUGAAAAACUACAAAAAUAUCAUUCGAAAGAAAUUCGUAAAGCAAUUUGUACAUGGUUUAUUAAUAUGGAAGUGUUCGGUCCUCUGGUUGUUUCACCCACUAAACUAUAUUGCAAUGCGCCAUCCAAAAGUUGCCAAAAAUGUAUAAUUAAUCUUACCAAUUUUAGCAGUAAAUAUAUUUUAUAUUAUUUGAAAACUCCCAAUGAUGAAUUUAUUGAAAUUGAGCAAACCAGCGGAAAACUUGAACCAUUUAAUACAAUUGAUUUGACUGUAAUUGUGAAACCUAUUGAAACGGAUACUCCCGUAUACCAAAUAGAAUUAAAAUGGCUAGCAAAGGAACAACCGACAAAGGCAGAUUGGUCUGAAGCAACGGUGACAUCGAUUGAUGUUGGUUUUCAUAGAUCGCUAAAAACACAGACGGAUAUUGAUUAUCCAUUGAUGAGCACGUUCGCCACAAGUGACAAAUACCACAGAUUGACGGAAAUAAUUGAUCGAAGAUAUCAACCAGUUUGUAAUCACUGCCCAAUCGGAUAUCGCACUAUGACAUGGAAAGAAUAUUGGUUGCGCCAAGUACUGUGGGUGAUAGGUAUAUUACUCUUAUGUGGAGUGGCUUAUAAUCAUUCUAUACGUUCUACUUUUUAAAAUUUACACUAGGGAAGGGUUUCCAUUUUCAAUUUGUUCUACCUAAUUAUUGCAUGGGGUUUAUCUUGGGCGGUUGAAUUGAUGUUGUAUUAACUAAUCUACCACAAAAUCGUUUCAUUAGUUUGCUUUUGCGCGUUGGGAUGCAUUCAGGCAUAUAAAUACCACAUGGCAAACACCUGAGUAAAUACAUAAAAACCAAAAGGAAAAGGACGACUUAUCGACUCUGACAAUUUUGUUGACUUGCUGCUGUUCCUGUUGCUGAAUGUAGACAAAAUGUAUGUGGAAAUUUAUACUACGCGUCAUCCCACCCCUAUAGAGAUUGCGACAUUGCCUUGUUAUUCCUAUUGUUGUAUAUUUGGUGCUUUAAUUAGUUUAGUGCCAUGCCAAAUGGGAGGCAGUUAAAUGUUGGAGCACUUGCUUUAUGAUAUCAAUUAUCAUUUUGUGGUCCCAAUUCAAUUUGAUUCAUCUACUUAAUAUCCACAUUUUACCCUGAGGGUCUUAAUUUAACGGACACAAGACUUUAUGCGUUAGCAACAAGAAUGUUAUUAUUAGUUAAAUAAAAUUUAAUGUUCAGUAUUACCAAAAA